CCCAACUGGUCUCCUGCUGCAAUAAAAUCCGCGUUGAUGACAACUGCUACCCCUAUGAAUCCUACAGUUGAUUUAGAUGCUGAAUUUGCUUACGGUGCGGGGCAAAUCAAUCCUUUGAAGGCAGCAAAUCCUGGACUAGUUUAUGAUGCUGGUGAAAACGAUUAUAUUAGUUUUCUGUGUGGACAAGGUUAUAAUUCAUCAUCGCUGCAACUAAUUACAGGAGAUAAGAGCACUUGCACAUCAGCAAAUAAAGGAUCGGUUUUCGACCUUAAUCUCCCGUCUUUUGCUCUAUCAACCCCUCGCUCAAGCCACAACAAUGUCACUUUUAGUAGAACUGUUACAAAUGUUGGAUCAGCUACAUCCAAAUAUAGGGCCUCGAUAACUGCACAUCCAUCUUCUUUGAAGGUCGAAGUAGUGCCAAAUGUUUUGGCCUUCUCAUCGUUGGGUCAGAAGCUGUCUUUUACCCUUAAGAUUGAAGGAAGCAUUAAUGCAGACUUGGUUUCUUUUUCUUUGAUUUGGGACGAUGGCACUUUUAAGGCAAGGAGCCC
rnacentral:sRNA from 1 species